UCAGUCNUNACACAUNCAAGUCGAGCGGNAGCAAGCAGAGCUUUCUNCCNGGNGNUCGCGGCGGACGGGUGAGUAAUGCAUAGGAAUCUGCCCGGUAGUGGGGGAUAACCUGUGGAAACUCGGGCUAAUACCGCAUACGUCGUACGGGAGAAAGCAGGGGACCUUCGGGCCUUGCGCUAUCGGAUGAGCAUAGGUCGGAUUACAUUGUUGGUGGGGUAAUGGCUCACCAAGGCAAGGAUCGGUAGGUGGUCUGAGAGGAUGAUCAGCCACAUNGUGAGUGAGACACGGCCCGCACUCCUACGGGAGGCAGCAGUGGGGAAUAUUGGACAANGCAGCAAGCCNCCAGCACAACCGCGUGAAUGAAGAAGGCUCGGGUGUAAAGCACUUUCAGUNGGAAGAAAGNAUUNAUACCUGNGNCNCCNA
rnacentral:rRNA from 1 species